CCUACGGGUGGCAGCAGUGGGGAAUUUUGCGCAAUGCUCGUAAGAGUGACGCAGCGACGCCGCGUGAAUGACGAAGGCCUUCGGGUCGUAAAGUUCUUUCGACAGGGAAGAAAAUGCCUAUAAGUAACUGUGUAUGUAUUGACGGUACCUGUAUAAGCAGCACCGGCUAACGCCGUGCCAGCAGCCGCGGUAAGACGGCGGGUGCGAGCGUUGUUCGGAGUGACUGGGCGUAAAGAGCACGUAGUCGGUGUUGUAAGUCAUUAGUCAAAGAGUAGAGCUCAACUUUAGUACGGCUAGUGAUACUAUAAUACUAGAGUAUCAGAGAGGAAUGAAGAAGGCCUGGUGUAGCGGUGAAAUGCGUAGAUAUAAGGAGGAAUACCGUUAGCGAAGGCGGCAAUCUGGCUGGAAACGGACGCUGAGGUGCGAAAGCGUGGGUAGCAAACAGGAUUAGAUACCCCGGUAGUC
rnacentral:rRNA from 1 species